CGAGUCUUUCCGUUUAGCAGAAGGGAGGCGCUGCUCGAGUGAGCUCUUCAGUGAAAGAAGCGAAGGUUUCAUUUCUCUGUGACGGGACUGCUCGACUGAAGACGCGCAGAUAACGGUUAGAUGAUAACGCUUCACUCACAGUAGCAUGCCAUGUGCUUAUUAUAAAUGAUUAUGUGAUAUCGAUGCGUGAAAGUUUGUAAUAAUGACAGAGCUGAAUCUACUUUCUCUGACGAACUGCUGGCGUCUGAGCUGAAUUAGCUGCUUGCUUGUGUGCUCCAGUGAGCUGCGUGUUGUCUGCUUCCCAAACGCUCUCGGAUUCAGAAUCUGCUGUUUUGUGUCGCAAAAGAAGGACACGCGCAUGACCUGAACUGCAUGUUGUGUGGAGUAUCCCUGAAAACCCUCACCGCCAGGGAAAAGAGACAUUGCGGGAUCUUCAACGGUCGAGAUUCGGGAGCGGCAAGAGGAGCGAUUCACAGCUGUGCAUAUUACACCAGGAGGACACCACCAGAACUCUGGACUUCAUUCAAAGGCACUCUGUAGGUAUUAAUCCGGAGAGAGGAACAAUGAAGUUGAAAGGAAAAGUGGCAUCUAAAACAACAGGACAAAUGGUACAGAAGAAGCAGCUUGAAGUGAACCCACAUGUUGUCACUCUUCUUUGCAAAGUGAAGGAUUUUCAGUGGAAUUUCUGAAAUGUAAGUGCACACAC
rnacentral:lncRNA from 1 species